UGUGAAGAGAAUGGCCCUGCCUGAGAUGCUUGGGACCACAUGCGUUUCUGGCCUCUUCGGGGUUUGAUACAUGGAUGCAUCCAAAUCCUGGAUCUCAAGUUUGUGCAGCCUUUAAUCACUGUACUCUCCUGCCUCUUUCCUGAGUGUUGGCAUUAAAGGAGUGCACCACCAUACCCAGUGUCAUGGGGAGCUGGGGAUCAAACCCAGGGCCUCACACAAGCUAGGCAAGUACUCUGCCAACUGAGAUACAUCCCCAUGUCCUUGUUGGCCCCCCUCCCCUUUUGUUUCCUCUUGAUCUUCCUCCUCUGUAGCCCAACAGACCCAGUAUAGUGGGGAGAGACUUCCAACGUACCAGGCACUGUGCCGAGUAUUUUCCAAUCUUUUAUUUAACCUUCAAAAAUCUCUAUAAGGUACAGAGAUCCCAACCACACAGCAGGUAGAAGUUGAGGCAGGAAGUAAACCCAAACUGUGUGACACCAGGCAUUUCAUGAUUGCCUGUCUGUCAACAUUUGCUGGACAGACUUCUGCCCUUCAAGGCUCAGGCUCAUCCCCUACCUUAUAGUGCUCACAGGCAACAGCCAGAGAAGGAUCCCUUUGUCAGACCACUCCUCAGAAAGACAUUCUCCUUUAUUUGGGUGCUGGGUGUAUUAGCUGUCUCUGAAUAAAUCCUUAAUUAGCUGCCCUGGCUGUAUUUGCAUAAUGGAUUUCACUUUGUUCUUAAGUUAAUGGUGUUUUUGUAACAGAACAGUAACCUCUUGGUUCGCAGCCAUUAAAAUAACUGCCACCCUGUAGGGCAGAGCCAGGGUUGUGUAAAAGAGGUUCAGUUAAGAGUUCAGAGGAGUAAAAGGGGAAGCAGCAGUGGUUUCUGCUUCCUUCCCUAGGAGGGUCAGAAAGGCCAUUGUCAGAGGAACCCUAAGGUUUGGAGAGAACCACAGGGCAACAGGGAGCUGUUGCAGGGUCACUUUCUGGCAAACAGUCUGUCCCCUGGAACACCCUCAUUUUGUUCCCAGGGGAUAAUGCAUUUGUAGGGUUGUUGUGGGGGUGAAGGUGCAGCCUAGAAAGAUAGGAUACUAGGAGGCAGGAGAGAUGGCUCAGUGGUUAAGAGUAUUUGUUGGGGGUUGGGGAUUUAGCUCAGUGGUAGAGCGCUUGCCUAGCAACCGCAAGGUCCUGGGUUCGGUCCCCAGCUCCGAAAAAAGAAAAAAAAAAAAAAGAGUAUUUGUUGCCCUUGCAGAGGAUGCAGUUCCCAGUGCCCACAUGGCAGCUUGCAACUGUCUGUAACUCCAGUUCCGAGGUCUGAUACUCUUGUUUGACUUCUCUGGGCACCCGGCACCAAGCACAUAUGUAGUUGCAUAUACAAGUAUGUAGAAAAAACAUCCAUACAUAAGUAUUUUUAAGUUAGGACAUGAGUAAGAAUAUAGAUCUUGGCCCAGGCCCUGUAAGAUGGCUCCAGGCCUGCUCUAGAUACCUGCCCAUGGUGUUUCUCUAAGUUCUCAGAACACAACCUGUAGGAGACUUGGACAUAGGGUCUAACUAGGCCUGGAACUCUGAGCUGACAGAGGCCAGCAGAGUCGGUGGAGAGACCGUGACAGUGAGCAGAAGGCCUCCCCACGACCAGCUCCUCCCUCUUGGGCUUGUGUCCCUCCAGUUGCAUUUCAAGUCCACGCCUUACAGUACCACACCUUCAAAGCACCCGAGGGGCAGAUCCCCCACAUUCCUGGUCUUCCUCCCUUGCCCACCUGUGCAACUGGGCUCCAGCUUCACGCUCCAGCUGGGCCCAUGUCCGAUAACAUUCAUCCAUCAUCCUUGUGUAGAAGUCCUCGGGAUUCUAGAUGGCCUCAAGUUCUCUGUCAGUCUUCUCAUCACAUGCUUGCCUAGUAGAAUACAGUGACGGCCACACUCUAGCCCAUGCCUUUGGACAACAUCCUCUUCUUGCCUUGAAGAAUUCGCUCUCAGACCCUUAACCACCAUGUUAGAAGUCUAGCCACUCUGUGAGAGAGAGAAGACGAGAAAAGUCCCAGGAUGACACCGACAGUCACAUGUUAAGAGAGAAGCUAUUUUGGACCUUGUGUCCAGACCAACUAACCACCACCGAGUGACCCAUGACCCAACAGCCAAGCUGUGUCAGCAUUCCUCAGUUUUAUGAAGUAAAAUAAAAUGCUUUUUAGACCCUAA